rfam:Triticum aestivum genome assembly, contig: Triticum_aestivum_CS42_TGACv1_scaffold_485913_6AS
AAUAUAAUCUCUCCAUUCGGAAUUACUUGUUAUCAAAAUGAAUGUAUCUAGAAUUAAAAUACAUCUAGAUAUAUCCAUUUCAAUGACAAGUAUUUCCGAACGGAGGGAGUAUGAG